GCUAGGGUUUGACUGAAUCUUAAAUAACCGUCCGAUCACUCUUUUAGUAGCCGUCAGAUCACUCAUGAUUUUCAUUAUAUAAACAACCAAACAGGCCAUACACGUCAUGCGCCGUUCAGAAGUACUAGCUUCACUUCAACGCUUCACUCACCUCUCUGAAAUUAGACUUCGUUCUUGUGUUUGUAUUAAAUUGCUGAUAAGCUAUUUCUGCUUGCUUGUGUGUACAUUUGCAUCGUCCUAUAACCUGAAACAUCUCAAAACAUCUCAUCGAAGCAAAAAGUCAUGUGGGAUAAAUAAUGAGGAUUAGAGAAAUUGAGAGUGAAAUUUUUUAUCAACAUUGUAUAUAAUACCUUCUACACAUACAGCUUAUAAGUGAAUUGAGAUAUAUUGUGAAUAAUUGGUAAUACAAAUGAGUAAUUAAUAUUACAUUGAACUUAGCAUGGAGGGAGUAUAUAGAUGUUCAGAAUUGGAUUAAAAACAAAUUUUACUUUAUUAAACUAAAAAUACGUAAAAGAAACAUGUUAUAUCUUAGGUAGACAUGUGUUAACUCUUUUUAAUACUUGAGUGAUGGCUUUUAUAUGUCAGUGAUAAGGUAUUCCGCCUCAUAAGAUUAAAGUGCAAUUAUUGGAUCUUUCUUUCAAUAGUAUGAUUUUUGUGUCCUAUUGAUAAAAAAUGUAUUUAGUGGUAAUCUUUCUCGGUCAUUCUUUAACAAUUAGAAUUUUAUAGUCAUCAAUUCUUUGAUGUAUCUUAGGUUGUGGUUAACCGAUGUCAAGUUUGGUAACGUAUUUCACAAGUAAUGCAAGGAUCUAAUCAAUCUCUUAUAUUGAGUUGGAUCACUACAAUGCUAUAUUCCAAAUUUUCAUAAAUAUCUCAAAUGCAUACUUUCUUAGUUGUUUGUAUUUGUUUGUGCGCACACAUAUCAUACUCGAAUACACAUUUCUUGAUGCCAACCUCCUUUAGGAAACCAACUAUCAUUUCGUUCCAUGUUCUUGUUCUACAUGCAUCUUUUUUUCAAUUAGUUUGUUCAAAAACAUAAAUUUGAAAUCCAUUUGAUAGAUGAAACAAUUGUUGUUAUUUGCAAUACUAACAACUAGUAUAGUGGUUUCAGACAUAGCACAUGGUGCAUAUUCCUCUUCAAAGUUUAUGUCUUUUCUUUGUAACUAAUUGAGCCUUUUGCUUGAUUAUUUUCAUGUUUGAGAUUUGCCUUCACUUUGAACACCCAUCUCAUGCCAAUUGAUUUCUCCCUGUUUGGUAUAUCAACUAACUCUCAAGUAUUGUUCUUCUCAAUAGAUUCCAACUCUCCUUUACAACAGAAAUUCAUUUUGGAUCAUUUAAAGUCUCUUCUGUUUUAAUAAGUUUAGAUUUGACUUGCGAAAUGGAUAACAUCACCAUCAUCAUUGACUUUGUUGUCAAAAACUUUCAAUCUAGGAGUCUUUAAGGUAAACUUCUUUGUCUUGUUGAUUUUCUCACAUUCUGUUCAAUUUAGGCUUUGACAACAAGUGUUUUUGCACAUCCUUAUUCUGCAGAAUUUGUAUUUUCAAAGAUGUAUCUAGUUAGAGCUUUUAUGUAACCGGUUACAAACUGUUGCAGUUGCUUUAUCUCGUUGAAAAUGACAUCUUGCUGAUCACAAGUCUCUUAUUUGUUGCUUCAAACAACUUGUAACCACUUGUGGAGUUGUACCCUACAAAUAUCAUCAUUUUUCACUUUUUGUCUAACAUCUUUAUAAGUUGUCAUAGAACAUGUCGAUAUGCUACAGAACCAAAAAAUCUUAAUUAGUUCA